rnacentral:lncRNA from 1 species
GUUAUAGAUGGUGGUGUAGAUGAGGCUGGGUCUAGUCAGGUUAUAGAUGGUUGUGUAGAUGAGGCUGGGUGUAGUCAGGUUAUAGAUGGUGGUGUAGAUGAGGCUGGGUCUAGUCAUGUUAUAGAUGGUGGUGUAGAUGAGGCUGGGUCUAGUCAGGUUAUAGAUGCUGGUGGUGUAGAUGAGGCUGGGUCUAGUCAGGCUAUAGAUGGUGGUGGUGUAGAUGAGGCUGGGUCUAGUCAGGCUAUAGAUGGUGGUGGUGUAGAUGAGGCUGGGUCUAGUCAGGCUAUAGAUUGUGGUGUAGGUGAGGCUGGGUCUAGUCAGGCUAUAGAUGGUGGUGUAGAUGAGGCUGGGUCUAGUCAGGUUAUAGAUGGUGGUGUAGAUGAGGCUGUGUCUAGUCAGGUUAUAGAUGGUGGUGUAGAUGAGACUGGGUCUAGUCAGGUUAUAGAUGGUGGUGUAGAUGAGGCUGGGUCUAGUCAGGUUAUAGAUAGUGGUGUAGAUGAGGCUGGGUCUAGUCAGGUUAUAGAUGGUGGUGGUGUAGAUGAUGCUGGGUCUAGUCAGGUUAUAGAUGGUGGUGUAGAUGAGGCUGGGUCUAGUCAGGUUAUAGAUGGUGGUGUAGAUGAGGCUGGGUCUAGUCAGGUUAUAGAUGGUGGUGGUGUAGAUGAGGCUGGGUCUAGUGAGGUUAUAGAUGAUGGUGGUGUAGAUGAGGCUGGGUCUAGUCAGGUUAUAGAUGGUGGUGUAGAUGAGGCUGUGUCUAGUCAGGUUAUAGAUGGUGGUGUAGAUGAGGCUGGGUCUAGUCAGGCUAUAGAUGGUGGUGUAGAUGAGGCUGGGUCUAGUCAGGUUAUAGAUGGUGGUGUAGAUGAGGCUGGGUCUAGUCAGGCUGUAGAUGGUGGUGGUGUAGAUGAGGCUGGGUCUAGUCAGGUUAUAGGUGGUGGUGUAGAUGAGGCUGGGUCUAGUCAGGUUAUAGAUGGUGGUGUAGAUGAGGCUGGGUCUAGUCAGGUUAUAGAUGGUGGUGUAGAUGAGGCUGGGUCUAGUCAGGUUAUAGAUGGUGGUGUAGAUGAGGCUGG